AUUGAACGCUGGCGGCAGGCUUAACACAUGCAAGUCGAGCGGGGGAAGGUAGCUUGCUACCGGACCUAGCGGCGGACGGGUGAGUAAUGCUUAGGAAUCUGCCUAUUAGUGGGGGACAACAUCUCGAAAGGGAUGCUAAUACCGCAUACGUCCUACGGGAGAAAGCAGGGGAUCUUCGGACCUUGCGCUAAUAGAUGAGCCUAAGUCGGAUUAGCUAGUUGGUGGGGUAAAGGCCUACCAAGGCGACGAUCUGUAGCGGGUCUGAGAGGAUGAUCCGCCACACUGGGACUGAGACACGGCCCAGACUCCGACGGGAGGCAGCAGUGGGGAAUAUUGGACAAUGGGGGGAACCCUGAUCCAGCCAUGCCGCGUGUGUGAAGAAGGCCUUAUGGUUGUAAAGCACUUUAAGCGAGGAGGAGGCUACUUUAGUUAAUACCUAGAGAUAGUGGACGUUACUCGCAGAAUAAGCACCGGCUAACUCCGUGCCAGCCGCCGCCGUAA
rnacentral:rRNA from 1 species